AUCACUUCUCAGCCUUUUGGCUAAGAUCAAGUAUAGUAUCACGCAUACGUUUGCAGUAUGUAACAGUUACCUUUGUUUGGGGGAAUUAUUAUAUAUAUAUGUCAUUUCCUGAUCAUUUUCCAUCCCUUUACCUCCCAUUAGGGUUAAGAUCUAAAAUGUCCCCCG
ensembl:snRNA U2 U2 spliceosomal RNA